rnacentral:rRNA from 1 species
AACGAACGCUGGCGGCAUGCCUAACACAUGCAAGUCGAAUGAGACCUUCGGGUCUAGUGGCGCACGGGUGCGUAACGCGUGGGAAUCUGCCCUUGGGCUCGGAAUAACAGUGAGAAAUUACUGCUAAUACCGGAUGAUGUCGCAAGACCAAAGAUUUAUCGCCCAGGGAUGAGCCCGCGUAGGAUUAGCUAGUUGGUGAGGUAAAGGCUCACCAAGGCGACGAUCCUUAGCUGGUCUGAGAGGAUGAUCAGCCACACUGGGACUGAGACACGGCCCAGACUCCUACGGGAGGCAGCAGUGGGGAAUAUUGGACAAUGGGCGAAAGCCUGAUCCAGCAAUGCCGCGUGAGUGAUGAAGGCCCUAGGGUUGUAAAGCUCUUUUACCCGGGAUGAUAAUGACAGUACCGGGAGAAUAAGCCCCGGCUAACUCCGUGCCAGCCGCCGCGGUAA